AAAAAAAGUCACUUUUUAUCAUUUUGCUCGAAAAUAAUGCGAUUACUAGACAAACAAUGGAACGACCAAAUGUCUGGCUAGAAUCAAAACACAAUGCAUGUAAACUGUGUUUGACGCAUGCUAAUUUCAAAAUGUAUCUUUGUACAUAAUGUAUAUGCCUUGAGGCUGAAAUGAUACGCACAUCAAUUUAGAAAUAUCAGUACAUGUGAAGAUGUGCGCGAGCUACAUACACAAGACGUAAAAGUAAGAAAAGAUAUAUUGUUUGAUCUCAUUCGAAUUUAAUUUUCAUCGUGUUAUCAAAAGUGUUUAAUUAUUCACAAUCAAAUGAAAUGUUCCCAGUGCUCUUCUUCCUUUGGAAUAGUGAGAAUGUGGCCAAUGCUUGCCAACAUCAAACUUUUCACACAUGAAACGCUAUCAAUCUGAGUUGAACAUGCAGCACUCCAGCUAAGCUAACGAUAGAAUAACAGAAAAAUAAUAAUAAACAAAACGAAGCGAAUAAACUUACAACGAUUCCAAUCCACGGAAAGAGGCUAACGGAAAAAAACGCUCAACACAUCGAUUCAGACUACGAAGUAGAUUAAGCUAAACGACAGUGUAAAUGUGUCUAAGUGAACAGUAGCACAAAGGACUCAAUCAAAACGAUAGUGAAAAAAAAUAGCGAAUAAAAUAAUUGGUUCUGAAUUUUCGAUUCAGUUAAAAAUCGCUACUAUUCAUAUGGUACGUUUGCAUACAAUUAAGUCUGUGUUUAUCUCUUCCGUUCUAGAGAUUUUUUCUUUCGUUUAUCUUCAUUUCUUCUUCUUCAAAUAUUCCAUAUUUAUCUAUCGUUUUAUCUGACUUUUUCUUAAUUUUCGAAAACAAGUUGAUUUUAUAAUCAUUGUAAAUAUUUUGGCACACACACACAAUUCCAAAAGAACACCAAAUUUAAAUUUCAAUAAAACAAAGAAGAUAAAUUGCAAAAAUGCCAACCUCAUCGAAAAAACAAAUAAGAAAAUGCAUACACAACCGACGAAAACUGAAUCGGGCGAAAGGUAUAGUUUUGAGCAUUCAUCUUUUUUUUUCUACAUAAGCGUAUUAUUUAUGGUUUAUUUUUCUUAAUUUUUCCCAUAGAAAAGUCAUUUUAGUAGUAGAGCUUCUGUUGUUUGUCGUUCCAUUUGAAAUGUGUUGAUGGAACUUCAAGUGACAUAGAUCUUCAUUAAAACGACAGUACAAUCCUCAAUUUUUAAUGAGAUAGUGACAGUUUUAUUAACUUCGAUAACAAACUGACUAAUAUUGCGUCGACGUGGAGUUCAUUCAAGAUAUAAACAAAAACAUGCGUUCGAUGACAAUGUCCAGCUAAUAAAUAAAGAGACAAAAACAAACAAUUUAUUGCUUUGUCUCGAUAUCUUAAAAGCGAAUCUGCUCUAUUUUCACAACUUCAAUUUAAAAUAUUAUUUAUCACACUUUGCACAUCAGAAUAUCAUCGACGCUUUAUGUGCUGUUUCGUUGCUUUUUGUUGUAUUUUGUUUUCGAUUUUGAUGAAGAGUAUUGCCAAGCCACAUCAAUUUCAAUUAAAAUUAUCAAGUCAUCGAUGUGGUUGCGGGCACCAUACUCUGUUUUUGUCUCUAUUGUUCUCCAUUUGUCGUGGAGGCUGCAGCUUUGGAGCAUCCACAUCCACAAACAGCACAUUUCACAUACACCAAUGUGUGAGUCGGUGUGUGCGCGCACAUUGUUUGAAAAGUAAAUGAAUAGUCCAGCUAAUAAAUGGAAGAACCUUAAUAAAGUUCCAUCAAAUUAAAAGCGCUUUGAAUUUGUGUGCUGUGUAUAUUGUUCAUUCGCAUUUUAAAUUGCGAAAUAAAUAAACGAGCAAUCGAAAUUAAUAAGUGGUGGAGGGUCGUACAUUCGUCAGUGCUUUUGAACCGUUUUAUUCUUGAUCCGGACAGUGCAUGAAAAUAGUCGAUCCAGCUCCCUUCAGUUUCUUAUUUUUAUUAAUUUAUUUUAUUUUCACUUGGGUUUCUUUUUUGCUUGUGUGUGCUUUUAUUCUGUCAUUGGUGUCGUUAAUUUGGUUUGGUUUGGUUUGGUUUCACUCUCUCAUUGGCAGCUAGCUAUGUUAUUCAUUAACGGUAUACGAAUUAAUACAUCGUGAUCUUUUUGAACUUGUUAAAUUUGCUUGUGAUCCGAAAAUUUGAAUCUUAUAUGCGAAGCUGUCAGUUUGUGUCUUACUUUCAUAAUAACCGGUCUGGCGUGAACAAAAGGUUCAACUUGUUGCACUUAUUUGCGUCCAAGAAACAAACAAAACUCAUUAAACUGAUAGCUUCAGCAGAACAAAAAGAGUGAAUAUAUUAUUUUGUUAUUAAGUCAAUUUGUACUAACUUGAGAUUUUCUAAAGACUUGCUAACAACUCUGGCAUAUAUUUGUUCUAAUUGAAAAAGUCAAGUUAAAAAUAAUCGAUUUUAUUUCGGUUCGUUAUUAUAGUGUUGAAAAUCCUAACUGCUGCAAUGGAAAAUGUUGAUGGUGAUGCCGGCGCUGGUCCAUCGACAUCGGCUGGGCCCGAAUCAGACUCGGAAUUUUUCAACACUGGUCGCGUAGGGAGACGGAACGCAUUGCCCGACAUUUUAUCAAGUCACGCGACCGUUUCUACUGCAGAUCUGCCAGAUCAGCUCAGUGCGCUCACGACGAGUGAUAAAAAUGUGCCCUCAACAAGUGGUUCCAAUGUCGGUAUGGACAUUCAACCGACAGCCAGCACGAGCCAAAUAUCAACGACGAACAGCAGUUGAAAACAUUCAUUGACCUUCGUAAAUUAAGGAACACACCAAAUUAAUACACUCAACAAUUGCAUAUUUGAUUUAAUAAUGACUUAACCCUCUAAAAAAAGAGAAUACUGAAGAGCAACACAUUCGAACAAAACAAAAACAUCGCACGAUGGAAUUUAUCGCAUGGAAAGACGUAAUACUUUUUAGUUUCUAGAUGUACAAAAUUUAUGAUGAGAAUGACGAUGCUCUAGAUUUCAAAUUUAUUUAUUACUGUGGAAUUUAAGUGCUACACUUUCGGAAGAGUAUUAUUAUACGGUUUUUGUAUUGCACUUGCUCUAAUGUUUUGAUGACCUAUCGAGAACCAAAAGAAUGAACGAACGAAGAAAGAAAAGAAAAACGCUAAAAUAUGUGAUUUGAAACGAUUAUAGUUUGUUGCUAUAAUUUCAAUUGCUUUUGGAUCAAAUUGACACUAUUUAUAUUUUUAUUCAUUUUCAAUUAAUUCAAGUUGUUUAUACACCAAGUUCUUUUUGAGAUGCAUAUGAGAUUCAAUGUCUAAGAUUGUUUCGAUUGGUCGUCAUCGUUUUUUGUUUAAAUCUAAUAACUUUUAUGCUCGUGUAGAAUUUCAUAUACAUAUAAUAUUAUAUACAUAUUAUUAUUGAUAUAAAAAGUAGGGUGAAGAAAAAGAAGAAUUAAAAAAAAAACAGAGAAAAAUGUGUGAGCUCAACAAAAUAAUUAUUAAAUUAGAUAAUAAUAAAUCAAGAACCAUGACGAAAACCAUUUCCAUUCUUAUAUCAUUUUUUACCGAAGUGAUGCAAAUUUUUGGAAUUUAAAGGGAAAAAUCGUUAUUCGAUAUCAUGUCAGGGAACAAAAAUACCAAGCAAAAUGCACCUCAUAAUAAUAAUGAUGAUAACAACAAAAAUGAACAUUCAUGUUGGCUUCAAUUCUCGGAGAGAGUCUCUCCGAAACACAAACCGAACAAACUGAUUGAUACUAGAAACAUCACGAACAAAAAACACACAAUUAUGAACAAUAAUAAAUCGCACAUCGAUUGCAUUUUUUUCAUUACAUUUCAAUUAGGGAAAAAUUAAAAUGAAUGACAACAACAACCAGAAAACCUCAUGUCAAUUAAAUCCAUUUAACUCAUUAGUCAUAUGAAUUUUUUUUUUCUCUUCACUUGAACUCACAUCGAAUCUAAUUCGGAAUUUCAUAGUUGAUUUCAAUUGAACAUAUGUUUGCUUUGAUUGUUUUAUUUUAAGAAGAUAUAUCCUAUGAUGUGAGCUCUAUUUUCAGAAGAACUAAUUGGUAUUUAUUUGUGGUAUUUGAACAAUGUACAUUAAAUGUAUUGGACAAGGUUUUUAUUCAAUUUCAACGUGUAACCGUUUUUAUUUUAAGUGUUUGCCUGAACUGAAUAAAGAAUUUUAGCAAAGGAAACUUCUGAACCAAGUCGAAA